rnacentral:misc_RNA from 1 species
GAUGAAGAACGCAGCGAAAUGCGAUAAGUAAUGUGAAUUGCAGAAUUCAGUGAAUCAUCGAAUCUUUGAACGCAUCUUGCGCUCCUUGGUAUUCUGAGGAGCAUGCCUGUUUGAGUGUCAUUAAAUUCUCAACUACACUGACUUUGAAUUGGUGUGGCUUGGAUUUGGGGGGAAAAUUGUUGUGGGCUUUUUGUAUAGUCAGCUCCCCUGAAAUUGAUUAGCGGUACCUUUGUGGAACUGUCUACAGGUGUGAUAAUUAUCUACAUCUUAGACAUCUGCUGGAAUGCUGCUUUCUAAACCUUACUUGUAUUGACAAUCUUGACCUCAAAUCAGGUAGGACUACCCGCUGAACUUAAGCAUAUCAAUAAGCGGAGGA